GAAAUUGAAAGGCGGCUUCGGCUGUCACUUAUGGAUGGACCCGCGUCGCAUUAGCUAGUUGGUGAGGUAACGGCUCACCAAGGCAACGAUGCGUAGCCGACCUGAGAGGGUGAUCGGCCACACUGGGACUGAGACACGGCCCAGACUCCUACGGGAGGCAGCAGUAGGGAAUCUUCCGCAAUGGACGAAAGUCUGACGGAGCAACGCCGCGUGAGUGAUGAAGGCUUUCGGGUCGUAAAACUCUGUUGUUAGGGAAGAACAAGUGCUAGUUGAAUAAGCUGGC
rnacentral:rRNA from 1 species